ACUCCUACGGGAGGCAGCAGUGGGGAAUAUUGCACAAUGGGCGCAAGCCUGAUGCAGCCAUGCCGCGUGUGUGAAGAAGGCCUUCGGGUUGUAAAGCACUUUCAGUUGUGAGGAAAGGUUAGUCGCUAAUAUCGGCUAGCUGUGACGUUAGCAACAGAAGAAGCACCGGCUAACUCCGUGCCAGCAGCCGCGGUAAUACGGAGGGUGCGAGCGUUAAUCGGAAUCAUUGGGUUUAAAGGGUCCGUAGGUGGAUGAUUAAGUCAGAGGUGAAAUCCUGCAGCUCAACUGUAGAAUUGCCUUUGAUACUGGUUGUCUUGAAUUAUUGUGAAGUAGUUAGAAUAUGUGGUGUAGCGGUGAAAUGCAUAGAUAUCACAUAGAAUACCGAUUGCGAAGGCAGAUUACUAACAAUACAUUGACACUGAUGGACGAAAGCGUGGGGAGCGAACAGGAUUAGAUACCCUGGUAGGCUCUG
rnacentral:rRNA from 1 species